UGGGGAAUUUUGGACAAUGGGCGAAAGCCUGAUCCAGCAAUGCCGCGUGCAGGAUGAAGGCCUUCGGGUUGUAAACUGCUUUUGUACGGAACGAAAAAGCUCCUUCUAAUACAGGGGCCCAUGGCACGGUGACCCGUAAGAAUAAGCACCGGCUAACUACGUGCCAGCAGCCGCGGUAAUACGUAGGGUGCGAGCGUUAAUCGGAAUUACUGGGCGUAAAGCGUGCGCAGGCGGUUAUGUAAGACAGAUGUGAAAUCCCGGC
rnacentral:rRNA from 1 species